UCUGCGCAGGCGCACAUUCCGGGGCCGGGUUUUUGAGUGGUGUGCGGUAGUGCUCGGUGACCUCCUGUUUUUGUCUGCCUUCACCUUCAAGAGUCUUUCUUUGACGCAGGAAUUCCAGACUUUUACAUUUAGAUGAGUCCCAGGGUGGUAGUCAUUUAAACAAACAGAAAAAAAAAACCCUGAAUGAUGGAUGAUACAUUAUUUCGGUGUUGCAGUUAGAAUGUUACUGCAGUAUUUUGUGUUAACAACGUCUGCCAUUAAGGAUCUCCUGCAAUGUGUAUAAAAGAUGUGAGAGGUGCUGAUAAUAAAUCUUGAGGAGGAUCAGCAGACCCUACAAGGCAACUAACUACCUCAGGAUGGGUCAUUACAGAUUUUACAGGUACCUGCAGGAGCCAUGCUGCAAGUGCUCAUAGGAGCCAAGGUGCUGCACAUGCAUCUGGGCCAGGGCUCAGAGAAACUGAAGAAGGUCCUGGAGUUGCUGAAAGAGUUCCUCACUUGGCCACUGCUCCACUCCCAGGUAAGCCAGCAGAUCAACAUGUGUGUGCGUGGGCUGCUGUAGCGCCUCACAUCUUACACUGACCUUCAGAGCGUAAGUGCUUCACUUCUGCCUUUGAAAUCCUGCACAGAUUUCCCUUGUGGCCAAUUCUAACACAGAACCAUAUUUGAGAGAUAAACAGAAUUGGAGAUGCUAGAGAAAUAGGACAUUCAAGUAGAACUUUCCAACAGGCAUUUGUAAACUUACUAGAGGUUAACACUUAUCGAUUUGAGGAUCAUCCCUGCAUGGGCAAAUCACAGAAAAUCCUUACAUAAUUCCUACCACAGCCAUCUAAUAGAGGGAUAUAAUAAAUUAUGCAAGGUAGACUGAAGUUCCUUUUCCUAAAAAAGGGGGAAAAAACCAAUAUCCUCAAGCACCUUAGAUACUGUCUUUUUUAUUAGAAAAAUUUUUUAAUUUUUUAAUGUUUAUUUAUUUUUGAGAGACAGAGACAGAGCACGAGCAGGGGAGGGGCAGAU